UGGUGGAGUGAUUUGUCUGGUUAAUUCCGAUAACGAACGAGACCUUAACCUGCUAAAUAAUUAAGCUCUAUUUAUAGAGUGUUAGUUUCUUAGAGGGACUUUGUACAUCUAGUACAAGGAAGUUUGAGGCAAUAACA
rnacentral:rRNA from 1 species